AGAGUUGGUCAGGCAGUCGCUUUAUUACCUGGAAACGAGUAAUACAGAGGAAAGUCCGGGCUCCAAAGGGCAAGGUACCAGAUAACAUCUGGGAGGCGUGAGCCUACGGAAAGUGCAGCAGAAAAUAAACCGCCCCUCACCUACAAUCUUUGAUUCUAGGUGAGGGGUAAGGGUGAAAUGGUGCGGUAAGAGCGCACCGCGUGACUGGUAACAGGAGCGGCAUGGUAAACCCUACCUGGAGCAAGAUCAAAUAGAGGAGCAGACGCGCGGCCCGCGCGGCUCCUGGGUAGAUCGCUUGAGCCAUAAGGUAACUUAUGGCCUAGAUGAAUGACUGUCCAAGACAAAACCCGGCUUAUCGACCAACUCUAACU
rnacentral:RNase_P_RNA from 1 species